UACGGAAGGUCCGGGCGUUAUCCGGAUUUAUUGGGUUUAAAGGGAGCGUAGGCCGUUUUUUAAGCGUGUUGUGAAAUGCCGCGGCUCAACCGUGGCACUGCAGCGCGAACUGGAUGACUUGAGUGCGCGGGAGGUAGGCGGAAUUCGUGGUGUAGCGGUGAAAUGCUUAGAUAUCACGAAGAACUCCGAUUGCUAAGGCAGCUUACCGUAGCGUUACUGACGCUGAAGCUCGAAAGUGCGGGUAUCGAACAGG
rnacentral:rRNA from 1 species